CCUACGGGAGGCAGCAGUGAGGAAUAUUGGUCAAUGGGCGCGAGCCUGAACCAGCCAAGUCGCGUGAGGGAAGACGGUCCUAUGGAUUGUAAACUUCUUUUGUCGGGGAGCAAAAGACGCCACGCGUGGCGUUCCGAGAGUACCCGAAGAAAAAGCAUCGGCUAACUCCGUGCCAGCAGCCGCGGUAAUACGGAGGAUGCGAUCGUUAUCCGGAUUUAUUGGGGUUAAGGGGAGCGCAGGCGGAAGAUCAAGUCAGCGGUAAAAUUGAGAGGCUCAACCUCUUCGAGCCGUUGAAACUGGUUUGCUUGAGUGAGUGAGAAGUAUGCGGAAUGCGGGGUGUAGCGGUGAAAUGCAUAGAUAUGACGAAGAACUCCGAUGGCGAAGGCAGCAUACCGGCGCUCAACUGACGCUCAUGCACGAAAGUGUGGGUAUCGAACAGGAUUAGAUACCCGUGUAGUC
rnacentral:rRNA from 1 species